rnacentral:lncRNA from 1 species
GGGCUGUGUGGGCCCGCUGGAACUCCAGCACAAUGCAGGGAGUGGUGGGUGCCAGGUCUAGCCCACCGACAAUUGGGAACUUGUUUAUUGCUUUAAUGACCCUAUGGUGGAUCCACCUGGAAAUAGACCUGCUAAUGAGCAGAGACAGAGCUGGCACAGCCCCAAGGGAAGCCUGUCGGGCCAGCUACCCUGGAGGCGCUAUGGGUGUGUGGUCUGAGACUAGGAGAGCUGGGAAGUGGAGACCUGGGUUCUGUCUGGGAAAACCACACGGAGAUCUCAUGCUUCUCCACUGCUAUCCACCUCUUGUUGUGGGUUACACGAAGGUGAAGUGGGGGAAGUGGCGUGGGGCUGAGAAUUCAAGGCAUAGUUGGUCUCCCCAUUCCAGCCUUUGCUCCCAACUGCUGGUGGCCUUGGACAAGCUGUCUACACUUUCUGGGCCUUAUGUCCUCAUCUUUCAGGAAGGGAUACCAACAUCAUUCCUGCUGUCUCCCCACUUCCCCAGGGUGUUGGGAGGAUAAGGUGUUGGCAAUAUCCUUGAAGAGACUAAAAGAACUCAGAACAACACUGAACAAGCCAGCAGAGCCAUCAACUCACCCCUACAGUCUCCAUACACAGACUCCAUGAAAGCAUUGGCCAUCAGCUCUCACUGGUGUGGAUAUGUCACCAGUGGGGUAGAGUUGUUCCUCUCUCUGACACUGUAUUAGUCCAUUCUCACACUGCUAUUAAAAAACAAACAAACAAACUUGAGAUUGGGGUAAUUUAUGAAGAAGAGAGGUUUAUUUAUUUAUUUAUUUAUUUUGAGACAGAGUCUCACUUUGUCGCCAGGCUAGAGUGCUGUGGCGCGAUCUCAGCUCACUGCAACCUCCAACUCCCUGGUUCAAGGGAUUCUCCUGCCUCCGCCUCCCAGGUAGCUGGGAUUACAGGCGCGUGCCACCACGCCCA